rnacentral:rRNA from 1 species
GACGAACGCUGGCGGCGUGCUUAACACAUGCAAGUCGAACGGAAAGGCCCUGCUUUUGUGGGGUGCUCGAGUGGCGAACGGGUGAGUAACACGUGAGUAACCUGCCCUUGACUUUGGGAUAACUUCAGGAAACUGGGGCUAAUACCGGAUAGGAGCUCCUGCUGCAUGGUGGGGGUUGGAAAGUUUCGGCGGUUGGGGCUGGUCUCGAGGCUUAUCAGCUUGUUGGUGGGGUAGUGGCUUACCAAGGCUUUGACGGGUAGCCGGCCUGAGAGGGUGACCGGCCACAUUGGGCCUGCGAUACGGCCCAGACUCCUACGGGAGGCAGCAGUGGGGAAUAUUGCGCAAUGGGCGGAAGCCUGAUGCAGCAACGCCGCGUGCGGGAUGACGGCCUUCGGGUUGUAAACCGCUUUCGCCUGUGACGAAGCGUGAGUGACGGUAAUGGGUAAAGAAGCACCGGCUAACUACGUG